rnacentral:rRNA from 1 species
UACGAAGGGGGCUAGCGUUGCUCGGAAUCACUGGGCGUAAAGCGCACGUAGGCGGCUUUUUAAGUCAGGGGUGAAAUCCUGGAGCUCAACUCCAGAACUGCCUUUGAUACUGGGAAGCUCGAGUCCGGGAGAGGUGAGUGGAACUCCGAGUGUAGAGGUGAAAUGCGUAGAUAUCGGAAGGAACAUCAGUGGCGAAAGCGACUUCCUGGACCAAUACUGACGCUCAUGUGCGAAAGCGUGGGGAGCAAACAGG